CAAAAGGUUGACCGUGUCAAAAUCUAGAUAUCAAACACUGAGCAUGAAAGACAAGAUUUGGUGUCCCUCUCUCAUUUGGAUGCACCACCUUUGGGUUGAGAAGAGACUUUGAAGCUACCCUCUUUAAUUGGCAGGAGAUGCCCCUUCCCAGGAUGGUGCUGUGAGCUGGGGUGGCUGCUGAGCUCCAGGAUGGGGAGAAGGAUGCUCUCCUUCCCCAUGGACAGAAGGAUGCAGGGGAAGGACAAGGUAGGCAGUGACAGCAUUUUCACUGCCUGGGUAUCACUCCUUGCAAGCUCUCAGGGGAGGAACCAGCAAGACAGAAGCCACAGCACUCACACAGGUAAUGGCAGACUCCCCUUGUGCCACAUGGCUCAGGGGA
rnacentral:lncRNA from 1 species